UGAGGAAUAUUGGUCAAUGGACGAGAGUCUGAACCAGCCAUGCCGCGUGCAGGAAGAAUGCUCUAUGAGUUGUAAACUGCUUUUAUACAAGAAUAAUAAGGCUCACGUGUGGGUCGAUGAAUGUAUUGUAUGAAUAAGGACCGGCUAACUCCGUGCCAGCAGCCGCGGUAAUACGGAGGGUCCGAGCGUUAUCCGGAUUUAUUGGGUUUAAAGGGUGCGUAGGCGGGACUUUAAGUUAGUCGUUAAAUAGUUUGGCUUAACCAAAUCGAGGCGAUUAAUACUGGAGACCUGGAGAUUAGAUGCAGAGGGCGGAAUGUGUAGUGUAGCGGUGAAAUGCUUAGAUAUUACACAGAACACCGAUUGCGAAGGCAGCUCUCUAAUCUACAUCUGACGCUCAGGC
rnacentral:rRNA from 1 species